rnacentral:rRNA from 2 species
AGCAUUUGCCGAGAAUGUUUUCAUUAGUCAAGAACGAAAGUUAGAGGUUCGAAGGCGAUCAGAUACCGCCCUAGUUCUAACCGUAAACGAUGUCGACCAGCAAUCCGCAACGGUCACUACACGGACUGUGCGGGCAGCUUCCCCGGGGAAACCAGAGUGUAUGGACUCCGGGGGAAGUAUGGUUGCAAAGCUGAAACUUAAAGGAAUUGACGGAAGGGCACCACCAGGAGUGGAGCUUGCGGCUUAAUUUGACUCAACACGGGACAACUCACCAGGCCCGGACACCGUAAGGAUUGACAGACCGAUAGCUCUCUCUUGAUUCAGUGGGUGGUGGUGCAUGGCCGUUCUUAGUUGGUGGAGUGAUUUGUCUGGUUUAUUCCGAUAACGAACGAGACUCUGGCCUAUUAAACUUGACGCCGCCGUCUUCGUGACUGCGGUGCGCUUCUUAGAGGGAUCAUCGGCGUCCCAGCCGAAGGAAAGGGAGCAAUAACAGGUCUGUGAUGCCCUUAGAUGUUCUGGGCUGCACGCGUGUUACACUGAAGUGGUCAGCGCGCCGUUCAACGUCCCUCUCCGUGAGGAGCGGGCAAACGUUUGAACCCUUUUCGUGAUGGGAAUUGGGGGUUGCAAUUGUCCCCCAUGAACGAGGAAUUCCAAGUAAGCGCAGGUCACUAGCCUGCGUUGAUUAAGUCCCUGCCCUUUGUACACACCGCCCGUCGCUACUACCGAUGGAUGAUUUGGUGAGGUCGCCUAGACUGGCCGCUGGCUUCGGCCGUGCGGCCGGGAAGACGCCCAAACUUGGUCGUCUAGAGGAAGUAAAAGUCGUAACAAGGUUUCCGUAGGUGAAC